rnacentral:rRNA from 1 species
CAGCAGCCGCGGUAAAACGAAGGGGGCUAGCGUUGUUCGGAUUAACUGGGCGUAAAGGGCGCGUAGGCGGGUUUUUAAGUCAGAGGUGAAAUCCCAAGGCUCAACCUUGGAACUGCCUUUGAUACUGGAAGUCUUGAGUCCGGGAGAGGUGAGUGGAACUGCGAGUGUAGAGGUGAAAUUCGUAGAUAUUCGCAAGAACACCAGUGGCGAAGGCGGCUCACUGGCCCGGUACUGACGCUGAGGCGCGAAAGCGUGGGGAGCAAACAGGAUUAGAUACCCGCGUAGUCCCUGUCUCUUAUAC